UUCUUUUCAAUAAACAUUUUUGAGAAAGCACUUGAAGCUUGGUCGGCGAUUUGGAUUCCCAGUUUUUUUUAAUUGAAAUGGUACUUUUUCAAUCCUUUGGUGGGAUGUACUGGGAAUUCUCUUAUUGAGGUAUCCGUUGGUGUGCUGGAAAUUUGGGGCACGUAAAGAUUUGUCUUGGAAAAUCCUCUAGAGAUUAAUUCGAUGUUUAUUGAUGGCCAGGCUGAGAGUCGUGUAAUAGACCCUUUUGUAUGUUAAAGGGUGUUCCGGUAGUACAAAAUUGUAUGUAUUUAUCGAUCCUGUUUAAAGAAGUAAUAGAAGUACAUUUAUUUACCAGAUUUACAUUUAUUCAGUAUAUUGGAAAUAAUACAUUUGGCAGAUUUAUUUAGAAGUUCGAUAUUUGACGUUUAACCUUUUGACAUUUUGACAAAAUUUAAGGAAGAUUGCAGUGUGUUUAUCCAGGCAAAUGAUUUUUUUUUUAUUGAAGGAAAUAAGGACGGUAAUAGAUUUUAUUUUAUUUUAUGGGAGAAAACAAGAAAGAACAAGGUACAAUUUAGAUUGGGUUAAGGGGUCUAAAAAGGGGACUAAAAUACAAUGAUUUUUAUAUUUA
rnacentral:lncRNA from 1 species